CUGUGCCUGCAUAAGCGGUCCUAGAAGGAGAUUGUCGCGGUUGUCGUAUGAGACGACUCAACGUUGUCGGAAAAGUGUGUAAUCCGGAGGAAACAUGUGUCUGAAUGUGGAACCCAGAAGAAUUGUACAGACCCAUCACUUUGAGUUUCUGCAGCUACACACGACCAGCAAUCCUACCCAACAUCCAUCAGAUCGGCAUCAUGAGGAACAUCAGCCAUCAUGAGGAACAUCAGCCAUUAUGAGGAACAUCAACCAUCAUAAGGAACAUCAGCCAUUAUGAGGAACAUCAGCCAUCAUGAGGAACAUUGGGCAUCAUGAGGAACAUCAGCCAUCAUGAAGAACAUCAGCCAUCAUGAGGAACAAUGGGCAU